rnacentral:lncRNA from 1 species
CUAGGGUCUCUAAGACGUAUACCAAAUUUUCCUGUAAGAGAAUCCUCCUGGGGACGUGUCAUAAAUCAGUUUUUCAAAGCCAUAUCUCUGAACUCCCUUCAUUCCAUAGCUACAUUACUGAAGUGUUAAGCUACCAAAAUAGAAAAGGAGACAGGAAGAUGACUGACAGAGAAGAUAACCACCUUCGGUUAGCGGCACUGUGUCGGAGAAUGGGUGAUCUAUGGUCCGAAGAAGACAUCACAGACCUAGGGGAUGACAUUCCUACAGAGGAAAAGCAUCAAAGUGAAUUAACCCUGUAUGGUAAGCUCUAUUCCAAGCCAAAUGUUAACUUCCAGGCUCUCUGUAAUACUAUGACGAGAGCAUGGAAGUCUGAUUCAGUCAAAUGCGAACAAAUAGAUACAGGUUUCUUCGCCUUUAUAUUCCAGUCAAUUGAAGAAAAAAGAAGGGUAUUAAA